CGGACGGGUGAGUAACACGUGGAUAACCUACCUAUAAGACUGGGAUAACUUCGGGAAACCGGAGCUAAUACCUGAUAAUAUAUUGAACCGCAUGGUUCAAUAGUGAAAGACGGUUUUGCUGUCACUUAUAGAUGGAUCCGCGCCGCAUUAGCUAGUUGGUAAGGUAACGGCUUACCAAGGCAACGAUGCGUAGCCGACCUGAGAGGGUGAUCGGCCACACUGGAACUGAGACACGGUCCAGACUCCUACGGGAGGCAGCAGGG
rnacentral:rRNA from 1 species